CCUAACGACAUGAAAUAUGACAUUCACCAAGACCCUGCUCAAGACCCUUCCCUGGCCGAGAUGAUGGAGGUAGCUGUGUGCAUGCUGCGCAGGAACCCCAAAGGCUUCUAUCUCUUUGUGGAAAGUGGGAGGUUUUGCCUGGCAGAGAGGAGGAGGAGGAGGAAGAACCGGGUCCAGCACAGGCUCAAACAUCUCCCCAUCUCUGGUUUCCUGCAGGGGGCCUCAUCGACCACAGCCACCAUGAUUCCAUAGCCUAUCGUGCCCUGACUGAGGCUGUCAUGUUCGACUCGGCCGUUGACAAGGCAGACAAGCUCACCAGUGAGCAGGAUACCAUGAUCCUUGUCACCGCCGACCACUCACAUCUUUUCUUUUGGUGGCUAUGUGCCUCAAGGGAACUCUAUCUUUGGUAGGCCAGGGACAAGGCAAAUGUAUCAAAUGUAUUGGUCACAUAGCCUAAGUUUCUCUGGGCCUCAGUUUCCUUGCCUGUCAAAUGUGUAUGUGGUUGUGAAGAUAGGCCAGUUCCAGGCAAAGGUGAACAUUUUGGUCUAUAUUGGCUCCACGCCAGGGCAGUGGCAAAGUGUGACUCUCUCCCUGCAGGACUGGUGGCCCCUUCAAUGCUCUGGAUGGCAGAUCUUUUACCUCAAUCCUAUAUGGCAAUGGUCCCGGCUAUAAACUUCAGAAAGGUACCCGGCCAAAUGUCACUGACAAAGAGAGUCCCUAAGUUCUGUGGGGCCACCACCCUUGAAGUUGAGGGUAGAGGAGACUUGAGUCAAAGGCCUUCUGCCCUGAAUACCUUGUUUCUCUAGGUGACCCCAAGUACCGGCAGCAGACGGCUGUACCCCUGUCAUCAGUAACCCACAGCGGGGAGGACGUGGCAAUAUUCGCUCGUGGCCCACAGGCGCACCUGGUACACGGAGUUCAGGAGUAGAACUACAUCGCGCACGUCAUGGCCUUCGCAGCCUGCUUGGAGCCCUACACUGACUGCGGCCUGGUGCCCCCUGCUGGCUGGAGCAGUGCGGUGAGCCGGGGCCACACCUCCACCCUGCUAUUCCUGCGGGCUGGGACAAUGUUGAUAUUGAUGGUGGCAGCUGAACCCUGACUACCUAAGCUCACUGGACUUCACUCCACUGUCCCAUAGGCUCUAGUGCUCAUGGCUGGUGGUUUGAAUAUAGUUGGCCCAGGGAGUGGCACUAUUAGGUGGUGUGGCCUUGUAGGAGGAAGUGUGUCACUGUGGGGGUGGGCAACGAGACCCUCUUCCUAAUCACGUGGGAUCCAGUCUUCCAGCAGCCUUCAGAUGAAGAUGUAGAAUUCUCAGCUCUACCUGCACCAUGCAUGCCUUGAUGAUAAUGAACUGAACCUCUGAACCUAUAAGCCAGCCCCAGUUAAAUGUUUUUGUUUGUUUUUAAGAUUUAUUUAUUAUAUGCAAGUACACUGUAGCUGUCUUCAAACUCUCCAGAAGAGGGCAGAUCUUGUUACAUAUGGUUGUGAGCCACCAUGUGGUUGCUAGGAAUUGAACUCAGGACCUUCGGAAGAGCAGUCGGUGCUCUUAACCGGGUACUGGCUUCAGGUUUCCAGCCUCAGACAUAACUCAGAUUGCAAGUUCUGCCACUCACCAUGGGCUCUAACAACAGACCUCAGUGUUACAACCAGCUUCAACCUAACAGGAUACCCGCAGGCCAAGGAAAUGCCACGCUGGUGUCUGUCACUGAUGUCGGCUGCCAGAGAAUGUCACACCAUGCAUUCAGUCACAGCUCAGCCUAUGCCUGAGGACCACAAAGGCACUUGGUGUCCCCAUAGGACAAGGACUGAACAAGAGUGGGCUGGCUUCUCUUGCCUUCAGUGUCCACAGCACACCCAACAGAGCCUGGAGAGGUUGAUGUAGCCAAGGCUCUUUGACAGUCCUCAGCUCCCACCAGUGGCCUCAAACUCAUGAUCCUCCUGCCACAACCUCCCAGGUGCUAUAAUUACACACAUGUGCCUCUGGGCCCGGCUUGCACAUUAAUGUCCAAGCAAAGUAUGCUUCCGUCAUUCUCCUGGGAGAUUUUGCAAUAAUAAAAUGAACUAUGACACAGCAUAACGCCAGCAGUGCUUUGCUGAAAGAAAGACUGAAUGUUCGGGUUGAGGCAGAGUGAGAGACAGAGACCAGGUGAGGGAGAGGUGCAGGCAUUGGAAGUGCAUUGGAAAAUUCAGACAUGAGAAGCCCUGUACGGAGUACAGGAUGCUUCAUGGUUUCCAGGUUCCACCUCCUGGAGUGAGCUUCAAGUUUGCAAGGGUCAAAUAACGUAACCACACACAGCUCAGUUCUUGCCUAAGGCCCCACCCCUGAGCUGGCUGCAGAGGUAGAGCAGGUAACAUGCUAAAGCCAAAGUAUUAAAAGCCCCGGUCACACAGAAGAACGUUGUACUGGCUGGUUUUGUGUGUCAACUUGACACCAGCUGGAGUUUUCACAGAGAAGGGAGCCUCCCUUGAGGAAAUGCCUCCAUGAGAUUCAGCUGUAAGGUUUUGUCUCAAUUAGUGAUCAAGGGGAGGGCCCAGCCCACUGUGGGUGGUGCCAUCCCUGGGCUGGUAGUCCUGGGUUCUAUAAGAAAGCAGGCUGAGAAAGCCAGGGGAAGCAAGCCAGCAAGUAACAUCCCUCCAUGGCCUCUGCAUCAGCUCCCGUUUCCUGACCUGCUUGAAUUCCAGUCCUGCAUCCUUUGGUGAUGAAUAGCAGUGUGGAAAGUGUAAGCUGAAUAAACUCUUUCCUCCUCAAC
rnacentral:lncRNA from 1 species